rnacentral:lncRNA from 1 species
AGCGUCGCUUGCUCCCUGUGACCCAGGAUCUGCAGAGCUGAGGCUUCACUAGUGAUAUACUCCAAGAAACUGAAAAGCUGUGAAGAAAUACAUGACAGAAACAGGAAAAAGUUCAUCAGGGAGAAGGAAAGAGAUGGAGAGGCCAGGAGUGCUGGAGUGGGCUGCUGGACAGCUAUGCUUAAAUAAAUAUGGGCCAAGGCAGGAUGGAACACACACAGCAAGAAGCAGCAAGCGAUAGCCACUGUGUUUCCUUACACCAAGAGGACAUUGGUGCUGCUUUGACUUCAG